UACGUAGGGCGCAAGCGUUAUCCGGAAUUAUUGGGCGUAAAGAGCUCGUAGGCGGUUUGUCGCGUCUGCCGUGAAAGUCCGGGGCUCAACUCCGGAUCUGCGGUGGGUACGGGCAGACUAGAGUGAUGUAGGGGAGACUGGAAUUCCAGGUGUAGCGGUGAAAUGCGUAGAUAUCUGGAGGAACACCGGUGGCGAAGGCGGCAUCCUGGACCAAUUCUGACGCUGAGGAGCGAAAGCCAGGGGAGCGAAUGGG
rnacentral:rRNA from 1 species